AGAUGAAGAUGGAGAUGAAGAUGAAGAUGAAGAUGGAGAUGAAGAUGAAGAUGAAGAUGGAGAUGUAGAUGAAGAUGGAGAUGAAGAUGAAGAUGAAGAAAACCCCGUUAGUCUGAUUUCACUCAGAAACAUUCGUGUCUCCUCUUCUGUUUUCUGCAUUACAGUCAAACUUUAAGUUUGUUUGUGGAGGAGUAAAUGGUCCCUGGAGUCUGCUGAAUGGAGAAGAGGACUGCUGAUGAACACUGACCAACCUGUGGAUGAACAUCUGAGGAGAGAACAGACCAUAAUAGUCUGGUCAGAGGAUGCUGGUCUCCUCAGUGUAGGAACACGUCCAGAGAUCCAGUGGAUCCAGGAGGAAUCAUGUGACCUCCAUGUUUAUCAAAUCCGGAGGCUUUGACCCCUGAACACCAUCAGAGAGGCAUGAUUUCUUUUUUCAGUCUGGUCAUGUGACUGAGAGCUUUGAUUCCACUCGUCUGCAGUCUGCGCUCUUAUCUGGUUCUGUUUCUCUAAAACUUUAAAUGUUGGAGUUUGUUACACUUCUUUUGUAAGCCUACAAACUGACCCAGCCCCCCAUCAGAGAAGAAAACCGCUAUGUGGCCCUCACAAGAAAAGCUUGGGGGACCCCAGAUCAGAUCUGAUCAGAUGAUCAGAUCGUGGGAUUUUGUCACCUAAACUGCAUUUCCAAAGUUUUUAAAAACAUCUUCAAUCCCGCUGUGUCCAUCUGCUCCUGUUUUUACAGGAGCUGGACGUUCUUCAGGUGAGCCACAGGUGUCCUCUGGUCCUUAGGAGGGUUCUGACUAAACACCUGAGUUUCAGAGUAAAAGACUCAACUGUCAACAAGCUGCCAGUGAUG